rnacentral:lncRNA from 1 species
AUUCAUUGACCUCAUUUUAUAGAUUGGUUACUUGAUCAGCUCUCAUGCAUCAAUGAAAUAUAUGUAUAUCAAAUUUGACAUUCAUUCCCAUUAUUAUUUAAGAUGUUUUGAUAGGACAAAACAUACAAAUAAACAAACUUGGCCCCAGAAGUUAAUAUAUUUCUUAUGUAAGUAUCAUAAUAUUUAUAGCAAGGGAUGAUAAUACUUUUUCAAAUGUAUGGGUUAUUUUAUUUUUCUAAUCAGUUCUGUGAACUUGAGCAUAAUGUUUUAAUUUACCAAAGUUAUGCAAAGUAUGUAAUUUACUA